rnacentral:rRNA from 1 species
UUUGACUCCGUGGCUCGAGGACGACGCUGGCGGCGUGCCUAACACAUGCAAGUCGAACGGACGAGGGGGAGCUUGCUCCCCGAGUUAGUGGCGAACGGGUGAGUAACGCGUGAGAAACCUGCCUUUCAGUGGGGGACAACAGUUGGAAACGACUGCUAAUACCGCAUGAUGUUAUUUGGGGGCAUCCCUGGAUAACCAAAGCUUUAUGUGCUGAAAGAUGGUCUCGCGUCUGAUUAGCUAGUUGGCGGGGUAACGGCCCACCAAGGCGACGAUCAGUAGCCGGACUGAGAGGUUGACCGGCCACAUUGGGACUGAGAUACGGCCCAGACUCCUACGGGAGGCAGCAGUGGGGAAUAUUGGGCAAUGGACGCAAGUCUGACCCAGCAACGCCGCGUGAAGGAAGAAGGCCUUCGGGUUGUAAACUUCUUUACCAGGGACGAAGAACGUGACGGUACCUGGAGAAAAGCCACGGCUAACUACGUG